rnacentral:rRNA from 1 species
CCUCCUUCGGGAGGGGAUUAGUGGCGAACGGGUGAGUAACACGUGGGCAAUCUGCCCUUCACUCUGGGACAAGCCCUGGAAACGGGGUCUAAUACCGGAUACGACUGCGGAAGGCAUCUUCCGCGGUGGAAAGCUCCGGCGGUGAAGGAUGAGCCCGCGGCCUAUCAGCUUGUUGGUGGGGUAAUGGCCUACCAAGGCGACGACGGGUAGCCGGCCUGAGAGGGCGACCGGCCACACUGGGACUGAGACACGGCCCAGACUCCUACGGGAGGCAGCAGUGGGGAAUAUUGCACAAUGGGCGAAAGCCUGAUGCAGCGACGCCGCGUGAGGGAUGACGGCCUUCGGGUUGUAAACCUCUUUCAGCAGGGAAGAAGCGAAAGUGACGGUACCUGCAGAAGAAGCGCCGGCUAACUACGUGCCAGCAGCCGCGGUAAUACGUAGGGCGCAAGCGUUGUCCGGAAUUAUUGGGCGUAAAGAGCUCGUAGGCGGCCAGUCACGUCGGAUGUGAAAGCCCGAGGCUUAACCUCGGGUCUGCAUUCGAUACGGGCUGGCUAGAGUGUGGUAGGGGAGAUCGGAAUUCCUGGUGUAGCGGUGAAAUGCGCAGAUAUCAGGAGGAACACCGGUGGCGAAGGCGGAUCUCUGGGCCAUUACUGACGCUGAGGAGCGAAAGCGUGGGGAGCGAACAGGAUUAGAUACCCUGGUAGUCCACGCCGUAAACG